rnacentral:tRNA from 1 species
GGGCCUGAACGGACCGAGAACGGUCGGUCCACAUCGUGAAAACGUUAACUCCGCCUUCUAAGCGGACGGUUGCAGGUUCGAGUCCUGCAGGGCGCGCCA